GAUGAACGCUGGCGGCGUGCCUAACACAUGCAAGUCGAGCGAUUUACUUCGGUAAAGAGCGGCGGACGGGUGAGUAACGCGUGGGUAACCUGCCCUGUACACACGGAUAACAUACUGAAAGGUAUGCUAAUACGGGAUAACAUAAGAGAGUCGCAUGGCUUUCUUAUCAAAGCUUUUGCGGUACAGGAUGGACCCGCGUCGGAUUAGCUAGUUGGUAAGGUAACGGCUUACCAAGGCGACGAUCAGUAGCCGACCUGAGAGGGUGAUCGGCCACAUUGGAACUGGGACACGGUCCAAACGCCUGCGGGAGGCAGCAAUGGGGAAUAUUGCGCAAUGGGCGAAAGCCUGAGGCAGCAACGCCACGUGAGCUAUGAAGGCCUUCGGGUCGUAAAGCUCUGUCCUCAAGGAAGAUAAUGACGGUACUUGAGGAGGAAGCCCCGGCUAACUACGUGCCAGCCGCCGCCGUAA
rnacentral:rRNA from 1 species